rnacentral:rRNA from 1 species
GAUGAACGCUAGCGGCAGGCUUAAUACAUGCAAGUCGUGGGGCAGCAUGAAGUAGCAAUACUUUGAUGGCGACCGGCAAACGGGUGCGGAACACGUACACAACCUUCCUUUUAGUGGGGAAUAGCCCAGAGAAAUUUGGAUUAAUACCCCGUAACAUAGCGAUGUGGCAUCACAUUGCUAUUAUAGCUUCGGCGCUAGAUGAUGAGUGUGCGUAUGAUUAGAUAGUUGGCGAGGUAACGGCUCACCAAGUCUACGAUCAUUAGCUGAUGUGAGAGCAUGAUCAGCCACACGGGCACUGAGACACGGGCCCGACUCCUACGGGAGGCAGCAGUAAGGAAUAUUGGUCAAUGGACGAAAGUCUGAACCAGCCAUGCCGCAUGAAGGAUUAAGGUCCUCUGGAUUGUAAACUUCUUUUAUAUGGGACGAAAAAAGGUCUUUCUAGAUCACUUGACGGUACCAUAUGAAUAAGCACCGGCUAACUCCGUGCCAGCAGCCGCGGUAACAC